UGUCGUACAAGGUAGCCG
rnacentral:rRNA from 2 species